AAAUACUGAUGUUUUGAAAUAGAUGAUUCUGUGCUCGCCUUUUAAAGCCUUAAUUUUAUGCACAUUAAUCUCAUUGCAGGUAAAAAUAUGAAUUCUUAAAUCCUACAUAAAUGAUCUAAGUGACAAGAAUAGAAUAUUUAUUCAAACAAUUGAAGAUUCUGAAAGAGAAGCCAAUGACAAUUUCUCAUUUGAAAGUUAGACUACUGAGAGCUGACCAGAUAAUUAAUCUUCAGAAAAGAGAAGAAGAGCUACAGAGACAGCAGAAGGAAACAUUUUCUCUGACACAGAAAAAAGACAGUCUUCUGGCUGAGCUCCAAGCUUGGGAACAUUUGAUUUACCAGCUUCAGACUGAGCAGUGUAAAAUGAAAUCUGAGCUAGAAAAAUGGAGAGUUAAACUUGGACAGCUGCAGAAUGAACUGGGCACAUCCAGCAAGUUAUAUGGGCAGGCCAAACGUCAGCUGGAAGACCUAAAGACGAUUGUUCAGCAGCACAGGCAGUCUUCAGUGGACAAUCAAAAUGUACCUAUCACUGAAGAAGCCCAGUGGCACGAUGCCUUUGUGACUCUUAAAUGUGAUUUCACAGAACUUGAAAAGAAUCACCUUGAAGCUUUACUACAGCUGAGCCACAAAGUGUAUGUGACAAAAGCUCGCAGCACAGAAAUAUCAAAAGCAACAUCCAAGUUGGAUGAUACCAAAAAGGAACUAGAGGGGGUAUGUGCUGAUCUUGUCAUGGCCAUGCAGGAGCUUGAUUUGGCAAGAGCUGAGAUAUACCACAAAGCAAAGAAACUUGGAACUCAGCAGACGGAAUUGUUAGAAGCUCAGAACUAAUAUUCUGCAUGUUAUGAGGAGGAAUGUCUGAACCAUCUCUUCAGGACCAUCUCUGCACUACAGUGACUACAUCUUGCUGACCAAUUCUGAAACAUUUUUAUUCAGGCAGCUAAAGAAUCAAAACUUCAACAUAGCAGUAACUUACUGGAAUAGUAUAUAACAUCUUACAAAGGACAUAAGCUACAACAAUGCUGAACUUACUGUAUGUGCUAUCAAUAUAUAAUGAUUGCAUAUGUAAAUAUAACAUUAAUCUUCAUUAAUAUUAAAAAAAUU
rnacentral:lncRNA from 1 species